rnacentral:rRNA from 1 species
GAUGAACGCUGGCGGCGUGCUUAACACAUGCAAGUCGAACGGGAUCCAAGGGGUGCUUGCACUUUUUGGUGAGAGUGGCGCACGGGUGAGUAACACGUGAGUAACCUGUCCUUUUCUUUGGGAUAAGCAUUCGAAAGGGUGUUUAAUACCUUAUGUUCUGUCUGCCUCGCAUGGGGUGGGUGGGAAAGGCUUUGGCCGGAUUUGGGUGGGCUCGCGGUCUAUCAGCUUGUUGGUGGGGUGAUGGCUUACCAAGGCUUUGACGGGUAGCCGGCCUGAGAGGGCGGUCGGUCUGAGUGGGACUGAGAUACGGCCCAGACGGCUGCGGGAGGCAGCAGUGGGGGAUAUUGCACAAUGGGCGAAAGCCUGAUGCAGCGACGCCGCGUGGGGGAUGAAGGCCUUCGGGUUGUAAUCUUCUGUUGCUCUGAACAAGGCAUGCCAGUGGGUGUGUUGAGUGUAGGGGUGGAUUAGCGCCGGCUAACUACGUG